CAGCAGCCACGGUAAUGCGUAGGUGGCAAGCGUUGUCCGGAAUUAUUGGGCGUAAAGGGCUCGCAGGCGGUUUCUUAAGUCCGAUGUGAAAGUCCCCGGCUCAACCGGGGAGGGUCAUUGGAAACUGGGAAACUUGAGUGCAGAAGAGGAGAGUGGAAUUCCACGUGUAGCGGUGAAAUGCGCAGAGAUGUGGAUGAACACCAGUGGCGAAGGCGACUCUCUGGUCUGUAACUGACGCUGAGGAGCGAAAGCGUGGGGAGCAGACAGGAUUAGAUACCCCCGUAGUCCCUGUCUCUUAUAC
rnacentral:rRNA from 1 species